CCGGAAGUCAAGCAAUCUCGGGCUUGGUUACCACUUGGAUGGGUGACCGCUUGGGAAUACCAAGUGUGAUAAGCA
rnacentral:rRNA from 1 species